UACGUAGGGUGCGAGCGUUGUCCGGAAUUAUUGGGCGUAAAGGGCUCGUAGGCGGUUUGUCGCGUCGGGAGUGAAAACCCAGGGCUUAACCCUGGGCUGGCUUCCGAUACGGGCAGACUAGAGGUAUGCAGGGGAGAACGGAAUUCCUGGUGUAGCGGUGAAAUGCGCAGAUAUCAGGAGGAACACCGGUGGCGAAGGCGGUUCUCUGGGCCGAUACUGACGCUGAGGAGCGAAAGCAUGGGUAGCGAACAGG
rnacentral:rRNA from 1 species